UGGAGUGGAAGGGAUGAUUAGGGUUCUUGAUUCGGAGAUUGGGUUAUCUAUUGUUACUAGGAAGCAGGAAGAGGCUGUUGAAGAUUUGUUGAAGCUUUGUUUGUACUGUACCAGCUCCAGACCUGAGGAUAGGCCCGAUAUGAAUGAGGUUCUUACGCAUUUGAUGAAACUCAGAGGGAAGACGAUCCCAGUUCCAGAUCGCAAUGGUGAUUUAGAAGUGUAACAGUAAUGGUUUAAUCAAAGUCGAAGACGAGCUUUGUUGUGCGAGUGUCGUACUAUGUUUUUGUAAUAUCCGGCGGAUAUCCGGAUUUAGAUUUGGAUCCUUAAAAUAAAUAAAUAAAAUAAUAUUAAUAUAUAUAAAAUAUUAACAAUAAUUUAAAAAUAAAAAAUAUUUAAUGUUUUUAAUUAUUUCUAUAUAUAAUAUUACAAAAUUUACAUAAAAUUUACAUAUACUAUCAUAAAAAUGAAAAUAUAUUACAUAAAGUUAGUCUUUAUAUAUAGAUAUUACUAUUUUUGAAAUAGUUAUUAAUAAAACUUAUGGAUCCGAAUAUCCGGACUAAAAAAUCAAGAUAUCCGGAUCCGGAUCCAGCUUUGACAGAUCCAACAUUUUACUAUCCGGAUCCGGAUUCGGCCCCUCUGGAUAUCCAGAUUUUCGGAUCGGAUCCGGAUCGAAUCUCGGAUCGAAUCCAGAUCUCGGAUAAAAAUUUCAGGCCUAAUUACCUACCUACUAAUAAUUUGACUAAAAAUUCAACCUAACUGGUGUAAAAUUGGAGAAACGAACAAUUCACCGUAAUUCUUUUUAAAACAUGGUUACCAAUUGUAACUGGCUAUUUUUAUAACUCAAUAUGUAUAUAUAAAUAGAAGUAUAUUAUCAGAGAAUAUCGUUGUACAUAUCUAUCCGAAAACAAAUGUCGAUAAGAAAAUUCAGAUUAUAACAAAACUUUGAGAGAAGAAUUUUGUUUUCCCUUUCUUUUCCGGGUUGCAAAAAGAUAAAUUAAAAUGCUUGACAUAUUAAAUUGCUCAUAAGAAAACAAAACUUGAAUAUCAUUCCAAAAAAACACUACUUGUAUAUAGAUAUCUUAUUAAUACAGCCUACUAGGUUUUUGAUUCUUCAAGUCAGAACUCAGAAGACGUGUUAAUGCAUUACAUUAUAUAUAUACUUAAAAACCGGAUAUAUAUAUUUCUGUAGAAACAAAAAUGACGAUAAUUGUUUUGUUUUUAAAGUACUCACUAGUCAAACACUAUGUUGCGCACAAUGGUUUUAAGUUUCAAUGAUGCUACUCUUUAGACCAAAAAGGCUGGUCUUUCUCAGUUGCCAAAUUCAGUUCACAUUCUUUUUUCAUAUAAGCGACUAAGCGUUGACGCGCGCUUAUUAUAUAAAUUGAGUAAAAUACACUACAUAUUAUAAAAAGCUAUGUCAAGUUUCAAAUAUAUAUAUACUGAAUAUUUUCGUAUGUAUGUUUAGUUAAACGACCAAGCAAAAUACAAUUGUUUUCAUUUUAGCAGUAAAAUAUAUAAAGUUGAAUAUAACGUUUGUAUACAGAAGAAUAUUGAUUUAUUAGCGAGAUUAAAUGAAUGAAGAUAUAGUACAUUUUAAGAAUGUGUAUGACUGGCAGAGUGGGAAUGCAUUUAGUGGCUUUAUAUGCAAUUUGGCCGAAUUAUCAUGAACUAUAUAUUAUAAUGCGACUAGGCCGAAUAUAUAUUGCGUUUUGGCCUUUUCACAUCCGUGAUAUGAUCCUUAAAUUUAAUAUCGUCUUGACAGUAUGUUCAUAUGUACAAUCCCACGACUUUAAGUGUGUAUAUACUAUAUAUAGACUAUUAUCUCAUAUCAUAAGUCAUAAUAUUUUCUCGCCAUUUUCAACUCAUCUAAACCAUGACUUCACUCUCAAAGACAACUUUGAUCUUAACUCUCUUCUUCGUAUUCUCUUGCUCAUCACUUGCGAAACAGAAGUUUAAACCAGAGACUGAAGCUUUAAUAUCCUUCAAGAAAGGUAUUUCCGAAGACCCUUUAGGGAUAUUGUCUGACUGGACCACCACCGGUCUGGUACAACACUGCAAUUGGACCGGAAUCACCUGCGAUCGUACCGGUCACGUUGUCUCUGUUUCCUUGAUGGAGAAGCAACUUCAAGGUGUCCUGUCUCCAGCCAUAGCAAAUCUCACCUAUCUCCAGGUUCUUGAUCUCACUUCUAAUAGUUUCUCCGGCGAAAUACCGUCAGAAAUAGGAAACUUAACAGAGCUUAACCAGCUCAUUCUUUACUUGAAUUAUUUCUCUGGUUCAAUUCCGUCUGAGAUUUGGAGGCUUAAGAAUAUUGUGUAUCUUGACCUGAGGGAUAACUUGUUGACCGGUGAUGUUCCUGAAGCGAUCUGCAAAACUAUAUCUUUGGAAUUAGUAGGAUUUGAAAACAACAACUUAACCGGAACGAUGCCAGAAUGCUUAGGAGAUUUGGUUCAUCUCCAAAUCUUUAUAGCAGGCUUGAACCGGUUUAGUGGUUCUAUUCCAGUAUCAAUUGGUACUUUGGUUAAUCUAACGGAUUUUAGCCUGGAUAGUAACCAGUUAACCGGUAAAAUUCCGAGAGAGAUAGGAAAUCUCUCGAACUUACAAGCUCUAGUUUUAGCUGAAAACUUGUUGGAAGGAGAGAUACCAGCUGAGAUCGGAAACUGCACGAGCUUGAACCAACUUGAGCUGUAUAGUAACCAGUUAACCGGGGCAAUACCAGCUGAAUUAGGGAAUUUGGUACAGCUGGAGGCACUCCGGUUAUACAAGAACAAGCUGAAUUCGUCAAUUCCAUCCUCAUUGUUUCGGUUAACGAGGUUAACCAAUUUGGGACUGUCGGAAAACCAGUUGGUUGGCCCAAUACCGGAAGAGAUUGGUUUCCUUACGUCAGUUAAAGUUCUUACGCUUCACUCCAACAAAUUAACAGGAGAGUUUCCACAGUCAAUCACAAACAUGAAGAACUUGACAGUGAUAACAAUGGGAUUCAAUUUGAUUUCCGGUGAGCUCCCGGCGAAUCUGGGGCUUCUUACAAACCUUCGAAACCUUUCUGCACACGACAAUCUUCUUACCGGGUCAAUACCUUCUAGCAUAAGUAACUGCACCAGUCUUAAACUCCUGGACCUGUCUCAUAACCAGAUGACUGGCGAGAUUCCUAGGGGUUUAGGACGUAUGAAUCUUACAUUUCUUUCUCUUGGGCCGAAUCGGUUUGCAGGCGACAUUCCAGAUGAUAUAUUUAAUUGUUCAUACAUGGAAACUCUUAAUCUGGCACGGAACAACCUCACAGGAACGCUCAAGCCAUUCAUCGGGAAGCUUCAGAAGCUACGGAUUUUGCAGCUAUUUUCUAACUCACUCACUGGACCAAUUCCUCGAGAGAUAGGGAAUCUGAGAGAACUGAGUCUCUUGCAACUCAACACUAAUCAUUUCACGGGAAGAAUCCCAAGUGAGAUAUCAAAUCUGCCUCUACUUCAGGGGCUUCAGCUGGAUACAAAUGACCUCGAAGGUCCAAUUCCUGAAGAAAUAUUUGGUAUGAAGCAACUCUCAGAGCUCUAUCUGUCCAACAACAAGUUCUCAGGUCCAAUUCCUAUCUUGCUCGCAAAUCUUGAAUCUCUUACCUACUUGGGUCUUCAUGGAAACAAGUUCAGCGGGUCUAUCCCUGCAAGCCUUAAGACACUUUCGCAUCUCAACACAUUGGAUAUCUCCGACAAUCUUCUCACCGGAACCAUCCCUGAAGAGCUGAUAUCGUCGAUGAGAAACUUGCAGCUUACCCUCAACUUCUCAAACAAUUUAUUGUCAGGAACCAUCCCUAAUGAGCUUGGAAAGCUAGAAAUGGUUCAAGAGAUCGACUUUUCAAACAAUCUCUUCUCUGGGUCUAUUCCAAGAUCUUUACCAGCCUGCAAAAACGUGUUGUUCUUGGAUUUUUCACGGAACAAUCUCUCAGGUCAGAUUCCAGAUGAAGUUUUCCAACAAGGCGGCAUGGACAUGAUCAAAAGCUUGAACCUUUCAAGGAACAGUCUCUCUGGUGGAAUCCCUCAAAGCUUCGGGAACAUGACGCAUUUAGUCUCUCUGGAUCUCUCUUAUAACAAUCUCACAGGCGAAAUCCCAGAGAGCCUCGCCAAUAUUUCGACGCUGAAACAUCUCAAACUAGCUUCAAACCACCUCAAAGGCCACGUCCCUGAGUCCGGUGUGUUCAAAGACAUCAACGCAGAUGAUCUGAUGGGAAACAAAGAGCUCUGCGGCAGCAAGAAGCCUCUCAAGCCAUGUAUGAUAACCAAGAAGAAGUCAAGCCACUUCUCCGAAAGAACUGCAAUCAUCGUGAUUGUUCUUGUAUCAGCUGCAGUUCUUCUUCUCAUACUCGUUGUCCUGAUUCUCAUCUGCUGCAGAAAAAAGGAGAAAAAGACUGAAGCCUCAUCAGAAUCUCCAAUGCCGGAUUUGGAUUCAGCUCUGAAGCUAAAGAGAUUCAACCCAAAAGAGCUUGAACAAGCAACAGACUCAUUCAACAGCGCCAACAUCAUCGGCUCAAGCAGCUUAAGCACAGUCUACAAAGGUCAUCUCCAAGAUAACACAGCGAUCGCAGUAAAAGUCCUAAACCUAAAGCAAUUCUCCGCAGAAUCAGAUAAAUGGUUCUACACAGAAGCCAAAACGCUAAGCCAGCUGAAGCAUCGAAACCUAGUGAAGAUCCUAGGGUUCGCUUGGGAGAGCGGGAAGAUGAAGGCAUUGGUGCUUCCGUACAUGUAGAAAGGAAGCUUAGAGGACGCGAUUCACGGCUCCGGUGAACAGAUCAGAGGCUUCACCGAGAGAAUCGAUCUGUGCGUUGAUAUCGCUAGCGGAAUCGAUUACCUUCAUUCUGGAUUCGGAUUCCCGAUCGUUCACUGCGAUCUGAAGCCGGCGAAUAUACUCCUCGACGGAGAUCGAGUCGCUCACGUCAGCGAUUUCGGGACUGCGAGGAUUCUAGGGUUACGUGAAGAUGGAAGCGUUACAGCUUCUACAUUAGCCUUCGAGGGGACGAUUGGGUACUUAGCUCCAGGUAAAAUUCAAUAUCCAAACAAUAUUUUAUAAGUCAAAACAUACGUGGCUUAAGGGAAGCUUCGAACCUAGCUCCUCUUGAACAAUAUAGAGAACCGUAAACCACUAGACUAGACAAAUUUCAAAACGACCGGUAAAAAGUUAAUCAAAUGAAGAUAGGAAGCCCAUGCUUUAUUGGGCCAGGGCCGGUUCCAUUGAUUCACUCACUAUUUUCUUUCUUCAAUGAACAGAGUUUGCUUAUAUGAGGAAAGUGACGACGAAAGCGGACGUGUUCAGCUUCGGGAUUGUGAUGAUGGAGCUGAUGACGAAACGGAGACCGACUUCGGUGAUCGAUGAAGAAUCACAAGGGGUGAGUCUGCGUCAAUUGGUGGAGGAAGCGAUUGGAGAUGGAGUGGAAGGGAUGAUUAGGGUUCUUGAUUCGGAGAUUGGGUUAUCUAUUGUUACUAGGAAGCAGGAAGAGGCUGUUGAAGAUUUGUUGAAGCUUUGUUUGUACUGUACCAGCUCCAGACCUGAGGAUAGGCCCGAUAUGAAUGAGGUUCUUACGCAUUUGAUGAAACUCAGAGGGAAGACGAUCCCAGUUCCAGAUCGCAAUGGUGAUUUAGAAGUGUAACAGUAAUGGUUUAAUCAAAGUCGA
rnacentral:lncRNA from 1 species